rnacentral:snRNA from 1 species
AUCGCUUCUCGGCCUUUUGGCUAAGAUCAAGUGUAGAAAAGACAGUAUAUUAAUUGAAGUAUUUAACUCCAUGAAUAUUUGUUAAAUUAUUCCAGCUAUCUCCUUAUACAUAUGCUCCAUAGAAAGAUGAAUAAAUGGAUAGAACUAAU